AUGGAGCCCAUCCCUCUCCUCACGCCGUACAAGAUGGGCCAGUUCGAUCUCGCCCACAGGGUGGUGAUGGCGCCGUUGACAAGGCAGCGCUCCUACGGCAACGUGCCACAGCCGCACGCCGCCGUGUACUACGGUCAGCGCGCCACCGCCGCCGGCCUGCUCAUCGCCGAGGCCACAGGGGUCUCGGACACGGCACAGGGCUACACUGACACCCCGGGGAUAUGGACCGCAGAGCACGUCGAGGCGUGGAAGCCCAUCGUUGCCGCCGUGCACGCCAAGGGCGCGCUCUUCUUCUGCCAGAUCUGGCAUGUUGGACGUGUGUCCACCUUCGAGCUGCAGCCCGGUGGCGCCGCCCCGCUGUCGAGCACGGAGAAGGGGGUCGGCCCGCAGAUGAGCUUCGAUGGCCGGCUAGAGGAGUUCUCGCCGCCGAGGAGGCUGACAGUGGAGGAGAUACCUGCCAUCAUCGACGACUUCAGAAAGGCCGCCAGGAACGCCAUCGACGCUGGUUUUGAUGGCGUGGAGAUCCAUGGUGCAAACGGGUACAUCAUUGAGCAGUUUCUCAAGGAUAGUGCCAAUGACCGCACCGACGAGUAUGGUGGCAGUCUCGAGAACCGGUGUCGCUUCGCUCUUGAGGUCGUCGAUGCUGUUGUGAAGGAGGUCGGUGGCCACCGUGUGGGCAUCCGCCUCUCCCCUUUCACCGACUACAUGGACUGCCAUGACUCUGACCCCCACUCCCUUGCACUCUACAUGUCCACAAAGCUCAAUGGCCAUGGCAUCCUCUACAUCCACAUGAUUGAGCCGAGGAUGGCCAUCGUGGAUGGGCGGCGAGUGGUGCCGAAGCGGUUGCUGCCAUACAGAGAGGCGUUCAAGGGUACUUUUAUCGCUAAUGGUGGAUACGACCGUGAGGAAGGCGGCAAGGUGAUCACCGAGGGGUACACGGACCUGGUGGCCUUUGGGCGGCUAUUCCUGGCGAACCCGGACCUGCCAAAGAGGUUUGAGGUAGGCGCAGAGCUAAACAAGUAUGAUAGGAUGACCUUCUACACCUCCGACCCCAUCGUCGGCUACACCGACUACCCAUUCCUAGAAUAA
rnacentral:rRNA from 1 species